AAAAUGGCGGCGGGCGGAAAGCGGGGGGAAGGACGGGCGAGGAGCGGUGUGGGCACAGCGGAGGGCUCUGAUGCUGUGGGAAUCCCCUCCGGGCGGGCGGCGAAAGCGCUGCGGGGGUUGAAGCCGCCAUCUCCCGGUCUCCUCACGGCAUGGAAAAUCCCCAAAAGUGCUUAAGGAAAAAAAAAAAAAAAAACCACCACCAAAAAAAAAAGUCCCAAACGCAAGAGGAUUGAUUUAUCAUCGCAGCCGGAGUGGAAUGGGAAGAAGCCAUCGCUGCUCGCCUGCUCCCCACGACAGCUCGCCCGCCAUUCGCUUAAUUAAAAUCAUAUAUUGGUGUGAUGAGACGUGGUAAUACCAUUAAAAAAACCCAAA